rnacentral:rRNA from 1 species
CUACAGGGGUAUCUAAUCCUGUUUGCUCCCCACGCUUUCGCACCUCAGUGUCAGUAUUCGUUUAGGAGGCCGCUUUCGCCACGGGUAUUCCUCCAGAUAUCUACGCAUUUCACCGCUACACCUAGAAUUCUACCUCCCUCUACGAUACUCUAGUAUUUCAGUUUCAAAUGCAGUUCCUAGGUUAAGCCCAGGGAUUUCACAUCUGACUUAAAAAACCACCUACGUGCUCUUUACGCCCAGUAAUUCUGAUUAACGCUAGCACCCUCCGUAUUACCGCGGCUGCUGGCAC